AGAAGGGCAAAACCAACAAAAAACAAAUAAAAUAAAAGUAGCUUCUUUGUACUGAGCCAACAAAGUGAUUGGUAAACAUGAGAUUUGUGUGUCUGGAAUACAGACCCAAGUGAUGUUUAGUCUUAGUUAUAUGGGAACAGCUUUCUUCUUACUUGCUCUAGUAUUCCUCAGACUUUGCCAAGUGGGCCCUGCUCAUGCUGCAGUUAACGUAUUUUUAAGCCCGACCACUUAUGGCCAUCAAUCUUAAAACACGGUAUGCCAGCUUCAUUUUUCUAAUUGAAAUUAUGUGACAUUUACUCUCCUUUCUUGUUCCUUUGACCUUGCAUUCUCCAGUGUCUCUCUUCUAUUGUGCUACUGGCUGAACAGAAAGCUGUUCUCCAAUGACCCAGGCCUGUCAUCUCGUCUUAUCCCAACUUGACUGAUGUUUGAGGAUACAGCUUUAAGAUAUUUCCUCAUUUGGCCUACCUGGAGCUGGAAGGCUGAACUGGUAGAUAAACUUCCGUGAUCUAUGAAUAAACUCUGUGAUGAAGGGGACCUGUGUCAUUUAAUUCGUAAAUCUUGCAGAGGCAUUUGGGCAUUUCUAAGGAGGACUAAAGCUGCCACGAUACUUCUGGAUGCACAUGGUACAUUGCAAAUACAAGUUUUUCACCUCAGUAAAAAAUGCAGAGACCAACAAAGUCAAAAGCUACAAACUUAAUCCUAGAGGCAACAAUGAAUGAGACUUUCAUGGACAUUUUAGAAGAUGGAAAAAUAUUAAGGAUGUUUCACUUGAAGUUAACGUAAACAUGUGGAUUAAUUUGGAGAGCACUGACCUCUUUACAAGAUACGGCCCUCUGCUUUCAGAAUGUGUAUGUCUGCUCAUUUAUUUAAAUAUUCUGUGUCCUUCAGACAUGUUUUUAGUUUUAUUAUAAUUUCUUCAUACUUCUCCCUAAUUUUGUUCCUAGGCACUUUGUAGUUGUUGCGAAUGCAAGUGGAAAUUUGGAUUCCAAGAUAUUUUUAAACUAGUAAA